CGGGACCACGGGGCGGAAGUGAAGGGAGGCGCAAUCUUUGUCGUCGACGUUAGUCGCUGACUUCGCCGCUAACGUUCUGUUAUGAGUUGCUAAAAUCAUGGUGAAAUGUUGCUCGGCCAUUGGAUGUGCUUCGCGCUGUUUGCCCAAUUCCAAGUUAAAAGGACUGACAUUUCACGUAUUCCCCACAGAUGAAAACGUCAAAAGAAAAUGGGUAUUAGCAAUGAAAAGGUUUGAUGUAAAUGCUGCAGGCAUUUGGGAGCCUAAAAAAGGAGAUGUGUUGUGUUCAAGGCACUUUAAGAAGACAGAUUUUGACAGAAGUGCUCCAAAUAUUAAACUGAAACCUGGAGUCAUACCUUCUAUCUUUGAUUCCCCAUCUCACUUACAGGAGAAAAGAGAAAAACUUCAUUGUAGAAAAAACUUCACCCUCAAAACCCUUCCAGUCACAAACCACAAUCACCAGCUUGUUGGUGCUUCCUCAUGUACUGAAGAAUUCCAAUCCCAGUUCAUUUUUGAACAUAGCUACAGUGUAAUGGACAGUCCAAAGAAACUUAAGCAUAAAUUAGAUCAUGUGAUCAGCGAGCUAGAGGAUACCAAGAAAAGUCUGCGGAAUGUUUUAGACCGAGAAAAACGUUUCCAAAAAUCAUUGAGGAAGACAAUCAGGGAAUUAAAAGAUGAAUGUCUCAUCAGCCAAGAAACAGCAAAUAGACUGGAAGCUUUCUGUUGGGAGUGUUGUCAGGAGAGCAUAGAAAGAGACUAUAUUUCAUGAAAUAAUUCCAUGUUCUGUUCUAACUAAAAUUAAUAUUGGUACAGCAUUUUAGAAAAUAGUUCUCAUUUACCAUCAUUAAAUAUUAUCCAUUAUUUAGAGUGCUUCUUUGGCUCUCCCAUAGCAUAAUGCAUUUAGUUGUUAUCCAAAGGGUUUUUUUGAAGACGUACAGAAAUGUGCACUAGUUAUCAUGUUUUUGUAUGAUUUGUGACAAUUAUGUUUUUAUAGACCUAAACUAGUGCCAGGUCACUAUCGUAAGAUGUUAAGAGAUCCACAAGUUUCCACAGGACUUAGGAAAUUAUAUCAGAUUAGCCACAUUAAGCCAUGGUUUUAGGAACUGGACUCUGCUUCAACAGCAUCAGAUUUUGGGCUUCAAAGGAGUACCUUGACUUAUAUAUGCUUUAUGGAUUCCAUCUAAAUGGGAACCUUCCCACAUUUCAGAGGUCAGCAUUAUGCUAAGAAGAAACACCAAGGUCUUAUCUUUUUACUACCUAGAAAAAAAUCUCAUUAGCUCCCCAUUAUUUAUUUUAGUUACUUAAUUUUGAAGUCAUAAUGGACAUUUGAAGGGGAAGUUUGGAUAUGAUCUUAGAUUUUAUAGAGAUACUGUGAUAGAAAUGGAGACUAUUUUUGAGUAUGAAAAUUAAAGUCAGUGGACAGUGGAGAAAAGUAGGAUCAAUCCAAACGCAUAUGUCCAAAUUUGGCUCUCUACCGGCUGCUCAGAAUGACUCCAGCCUGGGAGACCUCUCCAAGAGUCAAAGCCCAAUUUGUGCCUCAGUCACAGUCAAUCACCACAGUCACUUUUACCACUUGUGUUCACAGUGAACUUGGCCCUUUUCUUCCUUGUCAUUGGGCUUAGUAUUUUACUGAGAGAUAGGUAACUGAGAACAAAAUCUCAGUAUCAUUAAGGACCCAGAGCUACCCAUUUUUGCUCUUUAUUCUUAUGGAGAGAUGAUUACCAAUAGAAAUCUGACAUAAGAAGUAGGGUUCUCCUCACCUGCCACCCCAAACAAAUAGACACAGUAAAUACCUCAGUCCUCUGUUCCAGAUAUUCCAGCCCAGAUCAGGGAGAAACUGUCCCGUACAGAGCCAACCAGUCACCCCCAUCCAGAGGGGCCUCAAGCAGCCAAGGCCAGCCCAAGGUUUCACUUCGCUUUAAAGCUUGGAGUAGCCUCUGGAUCCUGGAACAAACCAAUACACCAAUUCAACCUCAGCACCAAACCAGGUACAAAGGACUUGACAUGGCAUUUUUCUCCAUAUCAAGUUCAAAUCGCUGGAAAUAGACUUUGGUUGCUAAAGAUAAUCAAAAUUAUACCACAGUCUUUGAGAAAAGAUGAAAUGUAUUAAAAUAUAUAUUUAGUUUUUAAAAAGGGUAAAAUAUUACAGAAAUAAUUGAAGAGUGAAGAAUCCAUUAUUCAUUUGA